CACAAACCCUUGCUGAGCACUGACUGUAUGUCUGUUCCUCUUCUGUCCUAACGGUUGUCCCCUGAGGUCACUUACUGAAGGCAUUUCAUUCAGCCGUUCAUCCGUUCUGUAUACACCGUGCGUCUAUGGUGUGCAGGUGCUGGACUAGCAUCGGAGGUGCAAAGGCAGCCUCAGACCCCAUUGGGAAAAGGGUCACCCUCCUGAGCAAUCAGCUGCCACCUCAAGCAGACCUCAAGCUUCCUUCUCUUCCCUCCUCCCUGUUGGCCCACCUGCCUCUCCUUCUGCCUGCAGCAGAGAGUCAGGAGCCUGGUGUGCAGGAACCAAGGACAGAGACUGCCUUCCCUUCUGAAUGCCCAGGCGUAGGGCUCCCUGCACAGCUGGGUGCAAUGUGGGUUCCAGGCUGUGGGCACAUGCAAGAGAGGGGUCAGCCAGUCCCAGGCGGCUGCUUGGGCCACCUGCCCCAUGUGGCCCUUGGCUGGACUACACCACCUGUUGGGUGUGCAGGGCCUGGGGAAUGUGGGUGUGCCAACCAGUGAGCUAUCCCAGAUGGAGGGACAGAGUGACAGGUGUGGCGCUGGCCUAGAGGGCUGAGAAUUCAGCAUCUUGGACACAUUUGGGCCAGAGCCGGCUUACUCAGCUGAGACCCUUGGGGACUACAACACAAUAGAAUUCGGAAGAUUGAAAAGGAUGGAAUUGGGGGAGAGGCAAUGUGAAAGCACACUUGAUGGUGUUCGGGGGUUAGCUCAUGUGUCGUCCCUCACUGUCGAAGAGAGGGUGGUUCCGGUUCCAUAACCGGCUGCAGAUACCCAAAUCUGCAGAUGCUGCAGGCCCUUACAUAAAGUGACAUUGUAUUUGACUAGAACUGUGCAUAUCCUUCUCUCUCACCCU
rnacentral:lncRNA from 1 species